rnacentral:rRNA from 1 species
CUACGGGCUGCAGCAGUGGGGAAUAUUGCACAAUGGGCGCAAGCCUGAUGCAGCCAUGCCGCGUGUAUGAAGAAGGCCUUCGGGUUGUAAAGUACUUUCAGCGGGGAGGAAGGGAGUAAAGUUAAUACCUUUGCUCAUUGACGUUACCCGCAGAAGAAGCACCGGCUAACUCCGUGCCAGCAGCCGCGGUAAUACGGAGGGUGCAAGCGUUAAUCGGAAUUACUGGGCGUAAAGCGCACGCAGGCGGUUUGCUAAGUCAGAUGUGAAAUCCCCGGGCUCAACCUGGGAACUGCAUCUGAUACUGGCAAGCUUGAGUCUCGUAGAGGGGGGUAGAAUUCCAGGUGUAGCGGUGAAAUGCGUAGAGAUCUGGAGGAAUACCGGUGGCGAAGGCGGCCCCCUGGACGAAGACUGACGCUCAGGUGCGAAAGCGUGGGGAGCAAACAGGAUUAGAUACCCGCGUAGUC